AUUUGAAAAAAAGCAGACGGUUCCAACAUGGACCCUCGUCUAAUAUGAAUACUCGUGGAUUUUGAAUCAUUUAGACGGAAGCCGUCCUCCCGCCUGGUGGAGCUUCUGGAAGAGUCUGCAGAGGAGCUGAUUAAAGAGAACCAGAAUGGAGGCAAAGAUAUUGUGGAAAAAGGACUAUGCUGAGUGUCGUGAAGCUCCAUGUCCCCCAUGAAGUGCAGCAAAAGAAGACGCCACACCUCCCAACGUGUCCAUCUCCAUCGAGGGAUCGGCGGUGCUUGAUGAGGGUGAACGCCUGCCUUCUGCUCACGGACAUCAUCCAUGCAAUGAACUUAACUAACACAUCAAAGUUGAAAUACGCUUCUAUCGUUUGCAAAAAUCUUUCUUUAACUUAAAGGUGGGGUAGGUCAUUUUGGAGAAACCAGCUUGAGU